GACGAACGCUGGCGGUGUGCCUCAAACAUGCAAGUCGAGGGAGGGUUGGCGAGUGGCUUGCCAUUCGUUCAACUCUACCGGCAAACGGGUGAGUAACACGUGGGAAACCUGCCCUGAAGACGGGGACAACUUCGGGAAACCGGGGCUAAUACCCGAUACCCUCCACGGGGGGCAUCCUCUGUGGAGGAAAGGUUCCGCAAGGUUCGCUUCAGGAGGGUCCCGCGGCCUAUCAGCUAGUUGGUGGGUAACGCCUACCAAGGCUAUGACGGGUAGCUGGUCUGAGAGGACGAUCAGCCACACUGGGACUGAGACACGGCCCAGACUCC
rnacentral:rRNA from 1 species